rnacentral:lncRNA from 1 species
UGGUCUUGUGUGAAGUAUGAUUUGCUUCAUGUGACCUGCUCUUCUGAAUUUGUCUGCAGGAGAUCGGAAAGAUAACGAUGAAGAACAGAAAUGCAGAGACAGGAAAAAUAAACUUCUUAUGAGUCAAGUGGGCUACUACCUGGGCUGCCGGCUGAAGACGGAAGUCCCUGGCUUUCUGUGUUCUGCCACAAACAUCAGCAAGGUGGCGUCUGGCAGGCCUCCUUCCAGAAAAAACACAGAGGUGAACGUUCCAGAAGGCAUUGAGAAAUCCUGCUCCCGGCAGGAAGAAAACAAACCGAAUUUCAGAGACAGCAAAAAUAGACUUCUUAUGACCCAGGUGGCCUACUU